rnacentral:rRNA from 1 species
UACAGAGGGGGCAAGCGUUAUUCGGAAUUAUUGGGCGUAAAGGGCGCGUAGGCGGCUUGGCAAGUGGAUGGUGAAAUCCCUCGGCUUAACCGAGGAACUGCCGUCCAAACUGCUUUGCUUGAGACCGGGAGAGGUGAGUGGAAUUCCCAGUGUAGCGGUGAAAUGCGUAGAUAUUGGGAGGAACACCAGUGGCGAAGGCGGCUCACUGGGUCUUUUCUGACGCUGAUGCACGAAAGCUAGGGGAGCGAACAGG